UCCCCGGGAGCGCAGCCCCCGCCCCGCACCCACGCCCCGCUGGGAAGGCGCGGACCCGACCCGCGGCACUGCUGCAGCCGGGGCGGGAGGACGUUCUGGGAAAGGCUUACAUCAUCAAAGCCUUUAGAGAAACAGUCACCUUCACAGCUGUGCAUUCCUAGCCAAUGACUGCAUACUCUGGGAAGGACAAGGUUAACGAAAGAGACUGUCACCUUCACUGCAUGCCGCACAGGCGCAUCCCUUUCCUGCUCUGGACUGUGGACAGUAUUUGCAAUAGCCAUGUGAAAAAGGAUUUGCAGAGGAACUAUGAUAUGAUCUUGGAGUGGCUUGUACUAUCUGUUGUCACUAGGAUGGAGUCUCCCUGAGAGUAAAGUCAACAGAGAAAACCAAAGGCCAAGAGAUGGAGAGAGGAAGACCACAUUCUGAUGUAUUGUUUGAAGGAGUGGAUAUCUUUUUGCCUAAAAUUCCCUGACCUGAUGGUCAGUAAAAAUCCUUUUUUGGCUCAGACCAUCUUCAGUUGGGAUUUCUGAUGUUUGCAACAAGAGAUUUGUACCCACAUCAGUUAGAACCUGCAUAAAAUAAAGAGGGCCAUGGGCAAGGGAUGGUCCUUAUGAUAGAA